UACGUAGGGGGCAAGCGUUGUCCGGAUUUAUUGGGCGUAAAGAGCGUGUAGGCGCCACACAGGUCUGCUGUGAAAACUCGAGGCUCAACCUCGAGCUGUCGGUGGAAACCGUGUGGCUAGAGUCCGGAAGAGGAGAGUGGAAUUCCCGGUGUAGCGGUGAAAUGCGCAGAUAUCGGGAAGAACACCCGUGGCGAAGGCGGCUCUCUGGGACGGUACUGACGCUGAGACGCGAAAGCGUGGGGAGCGAACAGGA
rnacentral:rRNA from 1 species